GACGAACGCUGGCGGCGUGCUUAACACACGCAAGUCGAGCGGUAAGGCCCUUUCGGGGGUACACGAGCGGCGAACGGGUGAGUAACACGUGGGUGACCUGCCCUCAGCUCUGGGAUAAGCCUGGGAAACCGGGUCUAAUACCGGAUAUGACUCCAUGACGCAUGUUGUGGGGUGGAAAGCCUUGUGCGGCUGAGGAUGGGCCCGCGGCCUAUCAGCUUGUUGGUGGGGUGAUGGCCACCAAGGCGACGACGGGUAGCCGGCCUGAGAGGGCGACCGGCCACACUGGGACUGAGACACGGCCCAGACUCCUACGGGAGGCAGCAGUGGGGAAUCUUGCGCAAUGGGCGAAAGCCUGACGCAGCGACGCCGCGUGAGGGAUGACGGCCUGUGUAAC
rnacentral:rRNA from 1 species